rnacentral:rRNA from 1 species
ACCAGGGGCGAUAGAACGGUGAAUACACCAGUUCCCCACGGAUCACUGAAGUUAAGCAACGUUGCACGUGGUUAGUACCUGGAUGGGUGACCAUCUGGGGAAUCGCGUGCUGCUGGGU